GAGAAGAUAUCAAGGGCGCACGGCGGAUGCCUUGGCACAGGAAGUCGACGAAGGACGCGGCAAGCCGCGAUAGUCCCCGGGGAGGCGCACACGGCCUUCGAUCCGGGGGUCUCCGAAUGGGGGAACCCGCCCGGGGCCAUGCCCGGGCACCCUCCGCUGAACACAUAGGCGGAGGGGGACAACCGGGGGAACUGAAACAUCUAAGUACCCCGAGGAAGAGAAAUCAACCGAGAUUGCGCGAGUAGCGGCGAGCGAAAGCGCAAGAGCCCAAACCCGGGCGAGUGUAAGCGGCAGGCGUUG
rnacentral:rRNA from 1 species